ACACGUGGUUGAGCGGUGAGGCUGGC
rnacentral:piRNA from 1 species